UUAUUAACUCACGUGAUUAAAAUAACUCCACUUUUCCAAUCUUAAACUAUAUUUAUAUGCGUUAAACAUGGUCAACACAUUCGAAUUAUCCCUGAAUAUGGUGAUAACUCAGACAGUAUUCGGAGGUCACUGUCGAUAAUAUGAGGAUAUCAUCAAAUCAAACAUAUACAACUUUAUACGCUUAGCUCCGUACUAUUAAUAACCGAAGGGGCGCCGACCGCAAUGUGAUUAUGGAGGAAGCUACCAUCCCAAUGUGGCGCCAACUGUUUAAUAUCGUAUACGGCAUUCUCGUCCGACAUAGACGCAGUGAUCUCGAAAUCGAACUCUGAAGAGCAGGUCACUAUCACAACAUGGCGCCGAUUGCCAGUCACCGUAAGCGUCGCCUCUACUCGCGCCGAUCAAGUGCAUUACAAGCGGUAUUGCAAAAUGGUUAUACCGGUAUUGCAAAAUGGUUAUAUAAAUCGCAAUUCGAUCUUGUCAAGGGUCCAGCAACAACAAGGCAUCUGUCAUCCCAUGGAUUCUUACUACCAUUAACAAUGUUACACACUCGUCAACAACCUAAACGUCAACAUUAACCAUUCAACUUAUUACCUGCACUCUAACUGGCAAGAACGUCACUGCAGCCCUAUAAAUAAAUAACUACCAGGCAUAUCACCCUGGUCACAUUAGCUCAGUCAGGAAGCUUUGCUAUGGAAUAUGGGAGUCGGUGGUGCUUUAUGCGUCCCCGGUAUGGACCAAAGCGCUGUUGACCAAGAGGAAUAGAAACAUCUUGAAGAGGGCACAAAGGGCCGCAUUUAUGAGAUCGUCUACGGCCUACAGAACUGUGUCGCGUGCAGCGCUGUGCAUAUUGACGGGUCUAGAGCAGAAAUUGCUGAAAAUUUUGUAGAAAGAAUGGGGGCAGUGGAAGAACGUAUAGACGGCAGGUAGAGGGAUAAAUGGAGUGUGUAUGGAGAAGAUAAUUGGACCAAGAUGUUAGUAAAUGACGCUUGUACGUUUAAGAAAUACAAAAGACAUAUUUACCAUUGGACGAUGCAACUGUUGACUGGACAUGGGAUAUUCAACGUGUACCGUAGGACGAUCAGCAAAGAAGUUCACUCCAGAUACUGGGAUUGCGACACAGAAGUAGACGACGCGGAGCAUGCGUUAUUUCACUGCC